rnacentral:rRNA from 1 species
GACGAACGCUGGCGGCGUGCUUAACACAUGCAAGUCGAACGGAAAGGCCCGGCUUUUGUGGGGUGCUGGAGUGGCGAAAGGGUGAGUAACACGUGAGUAACCUGCCCUUGACUUUGGGAUAACUUCAGGAAACUGGGACUAAUACCGGAUAGGAGCUCCUGCUGCAUGGGGGGGGUUGGAAAGUUUCGGAGGUUGGGGAUGGACGCGCGGGUAAUCAGCAUGUUGGUGGGGUAGUGGCUUACCAAGGCAUUGAGGGGUAGCCGGCCUGGGAGGGUGACCGGCCCAAUGCGGACUGAGGUACGGCCCAGACUCAUACGGGGGGCAGCGGUGGAAAAUAUUGCACAAUGCGCCGCAGCAUGAUACAAAGUCGCCGGGUGCGGAAAGACGGCUUUCGGGUUAUAACCCGCUUUCGACUGUGACGAAGCGUGAGUGACGGUAAUGGGUAAAGAAGCACCGGCUAACUACGUG